GCUCAUGUAGCCCAAUUGGUAGAGGCGCCAGAAUGAGAUUCUGGUAGGUGGAGGUUCGAAUCCUCUCGUGAGUA
rnacentral:tRNA from 1 species